rnacentral:rRNA from 1 species
CCUACGGGUGGCAGCAGUGAGGAAUAUUGGUCAAUGGACGAGAGUCUGAACCAGCCAAGUAGCGUGAAGGAUGACUGCCCUAUGGGUUGUAAACUUCUUUUAUAAAGGAAUAAAACGAGGCACGUGUGCCUUUUUGCAUGUACUUUAUGAAUAAGGAUCGGCUAACUCCGUGCCAGCAGCCGCGGUAAUACGGAGGAUCCGAGCGUUAUCCGGAUUUAUUGGGUUUAAAGGGAGCGUAGAUGGGUUGUUAAGUCAGUUGUAAAAGUUUGCGGCUCAAACGUAAAAUUGCAAUUGAUACUGGAGGUCUUGAGUACAGAUGAGGUAGGCGGAAUUCGUGGUGUAGCGGUGAAAUGCAUAGAUAUCACGAAGAACACCGAUAGCGAAGGCAGCUUACUAGACUGUGACUGACAUUGAUGCUCGAAAGUGUGGGUAUCAAACAGGAUUAGAUACCCCUGUAGUC